AGGGGUUUAAGUUAAAAAAACUAAUAGCCUUCAAAGCUUUAAACGAUUCAAAAUCAACCUCUA
rnacentral:tRNA from 1 species